ACAGUCAAGACCAACCAUCAGACCUUGACCUUACACCCCUGUACUUCUUCAGAGUAAUCAUUCCUGUUGGAUAAAAUAGGAAUGACGUUGAUUUCAACGUGCAGUAACUGGUAAAUUUACCUUCAGAGCUGAAAAAACAACCCCUUGGACCUUGAACCACCCAGAAAAGGAUUUAAGAAUUUAUCAUCUGUGGCCCAGCAGGGAUUCCCUUAUGACUGGAGUCAGAGUUUGCACAGACUCCUAAGAGG
rnacentral:lncRNA from 1 species